CCUACGGGAGGCAGCAGUGAGGAAUAUUGGUCAAUGGGCGCGAGCCUGAACCAGCCAAGUAGCGUGAAGGAUGACUGCCCUACGGGUUGUAAACUUCUUUUAUAAAGGAAUAAAGUGAGGCACGUGUGCCUUUUUGUAUGUACUUUAUGAAUAAGGAUCGGCUAACUCCGUGCCAGCAGCCGCGGUAAUACGGAGGAUCCGAGAGUUAUCCAGAGUUAUUGGGUUUAAAGGGCGCGUAGAUGGGUUGUUAAGUCAGUUGUGAAAGUUUGCGGCUCAAACGUAAAAUUGCAAUUGAUACUGGCAGCCUUGAGUACAGUUGAGGUAUGCGGAAUGCGUGGUGUAGCGGUGAAAUGCUUAGAUAUCACGAAGAACUCCGAUUGCGAAGGCAGCAUACUAAACUGCCACUGACAUUGAUGCUCGAAAGUGUGGGUAUCAAACAGGAUUAGAUACCCGGGUAGUC
rnacentral:rRNA from 1 species